rnacentral:rRNA from 1 species
UGAGUGCGAGCGGCUACGGCCGCGAAGUGGGUGAUGUCAAGCUUCCAAGAAAAGCCCUAUACCCGUUAAGGCAUGAUGGCCUGUACCCGAAACCGACACAGGUGGGGUGGUAGAGAAUACCGAGGGGCGCGAGGUAACUCUCUCUAAGGAACUCGGCAAAUGGCCCCGUAACUUCGGGAGAAGGGGUGCCACCGCAAGGUGGUCGCAGUGAAGAGGCCCAGGCGACUGUUUACCAAAAACACAGGUCUCCGCUAAGUCGCAAGACGAUGUAUGGGGGCUGACGCCUGCCCAGUGCCGGAAGGUUAAGGAAGCUGGUCAGCGCAAGCGAAGCUGGCGACUGAAGCCCCGGUGAACGGCGGCCGUAACUAUAACGGUCCUAAGGUAGCGAAAUUCCUUGUCGGGUAAGUUCCGACCCGCACGAAAGGUGUAACGAUCUGGGCGCUGUCUCGGAGAGAGGCUCGGCGAAAUAGGAUUGUCUGUGAGGAUACGGACUACCUGCACCUGGACAGAAAGACCCUAUGAAGCUUUACUAUAGCUUGGUAUUGUGCCCGGGCUCUGAAUGCGCAGGAUAGGUGGGAGGCUUUGAUCCAUGGCUUGCGGGUCAUGGUGAGCCAACGGUGAGAUACCACUCUUUCAGAGCUAGGGUUCUAACGGUCACCCGUCAUCCGGGGACCGGACAGUAUCAGGUGGGCAGUUUGACUGGGGCGGUCGCCUCCUAAAAGGUAACGGAGGCGCGCAAAGGUUUGCUCAGGCUGGUUGGAAAUCAGCCGACGAGUGCAAAAGCAGAAGCAAGCUUGACUGUGAGACCUACAAGUCGAACAGGGACGAAAGUCGGCUUUAGUGAUCCGACGGUUCUGAGUGGAAGGGCCGUCGCUCAACGGAUAAAAGUUACUCUAAGGAUAACAGGCUGAUCUCCCCCAAGAGUUCACAUCGACGGGGAGGUUUGGCACCUCGAUGUCGGCUCAUCGCAACCUGGGGCUGAAGUCGGUCCCAAGGGUUGGGCUGUUCGCCCAUUAAAGCGGUACGCGAGCUGGGUUCAGAACGUCGUGAGACAGUUCGGUCCAUAUCCGGUGCACGCGCAGGAACAUUGAGAGGAUUUCUCCCUAGUACGAGAGGACCGGGAGGAACGCACCUCUGGUGUGCCAGUUAUCGUGCCAACGGUAAACGCUGGGUAGCCAUGUGCGGAGUGGAUAACCGCUGAAAGCAUCUAAGUGGGAAGCCCACCUCAAGAUGAGUGUUCCCAUGGCAUAAGCCAGUAAGGUCACGGGAAGAACACCCGUUGAUAGGCUCUACGUGGAAGCCGGGUAACCGGUGAAGCGGAGGAGUACUAAUAGACCGAGGGCUUGACC